ACUGCAUGAUGUGGGCAUUUAUGAAUAAGGUCCUUAAGUCUCUCCUAUAUUUCAUGAAAUAAUUCUCUAUCCAUUUGGGAAAAACAGUAAUGGCUUUCCUAAUUU